rnacentral:lncRNA from 1 species
GCAGCUUCACAGAAAGUCAGAAAGGCAUCGAUCACCGCCAUCUACUUGCAUGCGCCAUUAUAGUUAAAGCAUAUGCCAAAACAGUGUUAAUUAAUUGAGUUUGACUGUUUAAUUUAGAGUCAAGUCAAGUAAUGACAACCAACAUAGACACAUCAGCUAGCCCCGAUUAUCGCUUAUGUCAUCAAGUUUCUGAUAACGGUCUAAUUAAUCUUUAAACAAUAUAUAUGGCCUCAUCCUACUUCCUCAUCAAAUAUAUUUAUUAUUAAUUAAUUAUACCAUACCUAAAAUCUUUCAAUGAUGUUUGGAAAAGGGUAGUGCUAAAAUUACCAUAUUUUAUAAUUGAAAAUUAAAUAUUUUAAGGGCCGUUUGAUAACUAUUUUAUUUUUAUAAUUUUUUACAAAUAAAAAACAUGUUUGAUAAUAAAUUUUUGUUUUUUAUUUUUAAAAUAAGGAUGCUUUUUUAAAAACAACUUCAAAAUAUUUUCAUUUCUUAGUUUUUUUUUUCUUUUUUUUCCUUUUAUGAUCAGCGUGGGUGGAGAAUUCUAGACUUUUUUCAACAUUAGCAAUAGAAAUAUUACCAAAUGAAAAUUUAGUUUGUGUAAUUAGUAGAUUUUACUUUUCCUACCAUGCUAAUUUUGUUAGUGAGUUAUUGACCGUAGCACAACUCAUCAUACACAUUAGGUAGAUAUAUUGUUUCUUUAGGCAAGAAU